ACUUCGGGAAAAGGAUUG
rnacentral:snRNA from 1 species